UGGGGAAUAUUGGACAAUGGGCAAAAGCCUGAUCCAGCCAUGCCGCGUGUGUGAAGAAGGUCUUCGGAUUGUAAAGCACUUUAAGUUGGGAGGAAGGGCAGUAAGCGAAUACCUUGCUGUUUUGACGUUACCGACAGAAUAAGCACCGGCUAGCUCUGUGCCAGCAGCCGCGGUAAUACAGAGGGUGCAAGCGUUAAUCGGAAUUACUGGGCGUAAAGCGCGCGUAGGUGGUUCGUUAAGUUGAAUGUGAAAGCCCCGGGCUCAACCUGGGAACUGCAUCCAAAACUGGCGAGCUAGAGUAGGGCAGAGGGUGGUGGAAUUUCCUGUGUAGCGGUGAAAUGCGUAGAUAUAGGAAGGAACACCAGUGGCGAAGGCGACCACCUGGGCUCAUACUGACACUGAGGUGCGAAAGCGUGGGGAGCAAACAGG
rnacentral:rRNA from 1 species